rnacentral:rRNA from 1 species
AGCGAACGCUGGCGGCAGGCCUAACACAUGCAAGUCGAACGAACCCUUCGGGGUUAGUGGCGGACGGGUGAGUAACACGUGGGAACGUGCCUUUAGGUUCGGAAUAACUCAGGGAAACUUGUGCUAAUACCGAAUGUGCCCUUCGGGGGAAAGAUUUAUCGCCUUUAGAGCGGCCCGCGUCUGAUUAGCUAGUUGGUGAGGUAAUGGCCCACCAAGGCUACGAUCAGUAGCUGGUCUGAGAGGAUGACCAGCCACAUUGGGACUGAGACACGGGCCAAACUCCUACGGGAGGCAGCAGUGGGGAAUCUUGCGCAAUGGGCGAAAGCCUGACGCAGCCAUGCCGCGUGGAUGAUGAAGGUCUUAGGAUUGUAAAAUCCUUUCACCGGUGAAGAUAAUGACUGUAGCCGGAGAAGAAGCCCCGGCUAACUUCGUGCCAGCCGCCGCGGUAAUAC